rnacentral:misc_RNA from 1 species
AACGCACGAGACCUGCGGACCUGCGGAAGGAUCAUUAAUGAGAAACUGCCCCUCGCGGGUAGAUCUCCCACCCUUUGUAAACUUACCUUUGUUGCUUUGGCAGGCCCGUCUCCGGACCGCCGGCUUCGGCUGGCCAGUACCUGCCAGAGGAUUCUAAAACUCUGUCUGUCAGUGUUGUCUGAGUCUAUAUACAAUCGUUAAAACUUUUAACAAUGGAUCUCUAGAUCGGAAGAGCACACG